AGUGAACGCUGGCGGUAGGCCUAACACAUGCAAGUCGAACGGCAGCACAGUAAGAGCUUGCUCUUACGGGUGGCGAGUGGCGGACGGGUGAGGAAUACAUCGGAAUCUACUUUUUCGUGGGGGAUAACGUAGGGAAACUUACGCUAAUACCGCAUACGACCUACGGGUGAAAGCAGGGGAUCUUCGGACCUUGCGCGAUUGAAUGAGCCGAUGUCGGAUUAGCUAGUUGGCGGGGUAAAGGCCCACCAAGGCGACGAUCCGUAGCUGGUCUGGGAGGAUGAUCAGCCACACUGGGACUGAGACACGGUCCAGACUCCUACGGGGGGCAACAGUGGGGAAUAUUGGAGAAUGGGCGCAUGCCUGAUCCAGCCAUACCGCGUGAGUGAGGAAGGCCUUCGGGUUGUAGAGCCCUUUUGUUGGGAAAGAAAAGCAGCAGGUUAAUACCCCGCUGUUCUGACGGUACCCAAAGAAUAAGCACCGGCUAACUUCGUG
rnacentral:rRNA from 1 species